GAUGAACGCUGGCGGCGUGCCUAAUACAUGCAAGUCGAGCGAACAGACGAGGAGCUUGCUCCUCUGACGUUAGCGGCGGACGGGUGUAUCACACGUGGAUACCCUACCUAUCAGACUGGGAUCACUUCGGGAAUCCGGCGCUUAUCCCGGAUAAUAUAUUGAACCGCAUGGUUCAAUAGUGAAAGACGGUUUUGCUGUCACUUCUAGCUGGUUCCGGGCCGCAUUAGCUGGUUGGUAAGGUAACGGCUUACCAAGGCGACGAUGCGUAGCCGACGUGCGGGGGGGAUAGGCCACAUGGGAACGGAGACAGGGUCAAGACGACUGCGGGAGGCAGCAGUAGGGAAUCUGCCGCAGUGGGCGAAAGCCUGACGGAGCAACGCCGCGUGAGUGAUGAAGGUGUUCGGAUCGUAAAACUCGGUUAUUAGGGAAGAACAAAUGUGGAAUGAACUAUGCACGGCUUGACGGUACCUAGUCAGAAAGCCACGGCUAACUACGUG
rnacentral:rRNA from 1 species